rnacentral:rRNA from 1 species
UACGUAGGUGGCAAGCGUUAUCCGGAUUUACUGGGUGUAAAGGGCGUGUAGGCGGGACUGCAAGUCAGAUGUGAAACCCAUGGGCUCAACCCAUGGCCUGCAUUUGAAACUGUAGUUCUUGAGUGAUGGAGAGGCAGGCGGAAUUCCGUGUGUAGCGGUGAAAUGCGUAGAUAUACGGAGGAACACCAGUGGCGAAGGCGGCCUGCUGGACAUUAACUGACGCUGAGGCGCGAAAGCGUGGGGAGCAAACAGG